rnacentral:rRNA from 1 species
CCCUUAGAUGUCCUGGGCCGCACGCGCGCUACACUGAUGCAUUCAACGAGUUUUUCCUUGGCCGAGAGGCCUGGGCAAUCUUUUGAACGUGCAUCGUGAUAGGGAUAGAUUAUUGCAAUUAUUAAUCUUGAACGAGGAAUUCCUAGUAAACGCAGAUCAUCAAUCUGCAUUGAUUACGUCCCUGCCCUUUGUACACACCGCCCGUCGCACCUACCGAUUGAAUGGUCCGGUGAAGCCUCGGGAUUGGGGCGAGUUCCCUUUAUUGGGAGUUUGUCGCGAGAACUUGUCUAAACCUUAUCAUUUAGAGGAAGGUGAAGUCGUAACA